rnacentral:rRNA from 1 species
AGCGUACACGGUGGAUGCCCUGGCAGUCAGAGGCGAUGAAGGACGUGCUAAUCUGCGAAAAGCGUCGGUAAGGUGAUAUGAACCGUUAUAACCGGCGAUGUCCGAAUGGGGAAACCCAGUGUGAUUCGUCACACUAUCGUUAACUGAAUACAUAGGUUAACGAGGCGAACCGGGGGAACUGAAACAUCUAAGUACCCCGAGGAAAAGAAAUCAACCGAGAUUCCCCCAGUAGCGGCGAGCGAACGGGGAGCAGCCCAGAGUCUGAAUCAGCUUGUGUGUUAGUGGAACGGUCUGGAAAGUCCGACGGUACAGGGUGAUAGUCCCGUACACCAAAAUGCACAGGCUGUGAACUCGAAGAGUAGGGCGGGACACGUGGUAUCCUGUCUGAAUAUGGGGGGACCAUCCUCCAAGGCUAAAUACUCCUGACUGACCGAUAGUGAACCAGUACCGUGAGGGAAAGGCGAAAAGAACCCCGGCGAGGGGAGUGAAAAAGAACCUGAAACCGUGUACGUACAAGCAGUGGGAGCACCUUCGGGUGUGACUGCGUACCUUUUGUAUAAUGGGUCAGCGACUUAUAUUCUGUAGCAAGGUUAACCGUAUAGGGGAGCCGCAGGGAAACCGAGUCUUAACUGGGCGUUAAGUUGCAGGGUAUAGACCCGAAACCCGGUGAUCUAGCCAUGGGCAGGUUGAAGGUUGGGUAACACUAACUGGAGGACCGAACCGACUAAUGUUGAAAAAUUAGCGGAUGACUUGUGGCUGGGGGUGAAAGGCCAAUCAAACCGGGAGAUAGCUGGUUCUCCCCGAAAGCUAUUUAGGUAGCGCCUCGUGAAUUCAUCUUCGGGGGUAGAGCACUGUUUCGGCUAGGGGGUCAUCCCGACUUACCAACCCGAUGCAAACUACGAAUACCGAAGAAUGUUAUCACGGGAGACACACGGCGGGUGCUAACGUCCGUCGUGAAGAGGGAAACAACCCAGACCGCCAGCUAAGGUCCCAAAGUCAUGGUUAAGUGGGAAACGAUGUGGGAAGGCACAGACAGCCAGGAUGUUGGCUUAGAAGCAGCCAUCAUUUAAAGAAAGCGUAAUAGCUCACUGGUCGAGUCGGCCUGCGCGGAAGAUGUAACGGGGCUAAACCAUGCACCGAAGCUGCGGCAGCGACACUAUGUGUUGUUGGGUAGGGGAGCGUUCUGUAAGCCUGCGAAGGUGUGCUGUGAGGCAUGCUGGAGGUAUCAGAAGUGCGAAUGCUGACAUAAGUAACGAUAAAGCGGGUGAAAAGCCCGCUCGCCGGAAGACCAAGGGUUCCUGUCCAACGUUAAUCGGGGCAGGGUGAGUCGACCCCUAAGGCGAGGCCGAAAGGCGUAGUCGAUGGGAAACAGGUUAAUAUUCCUGUACUUGGUGUUACUGCGAAGGGGGGACGGAGAAGGCUAUGUUAGCCGGGCGACGGUUGUCCCGGUUUAAGCAUGUAGGCUGGUUGUCCAGGCAAAUCCGGAUAAUCAAGGCUGAGGUGUGAUGACGAGGCACUACGGUGCUGAAGUAACAAAUGCCCUGCUUCCAGGAAAAGCCUCUAAGCAUCAGGUAACAUCAAAUCGUACCCCAAACCGACACAGGUGGUCAGGUAGAGAAUACCAAGGCGCUUGAGAGAACUCGGGUGAAGGAACUAGGCAAAAUGGUGCCGUAACUUCGGGAGAAGGCACGCUGGUGUGUAGGUGAAGUCCCUGCGGAUGGAGCUGAGACCAGUCGAAGAUACCAGCUGGCUGCAACUGUUUAUUAAAAACACAGCACUGUGCAAACACGAAAGUGGACGUAUACGGUGUGACGCCUGCCCGGUGCCGGAAGGUUAAUUGAUGGGGUUAUCCGUAAGGAGAAGCUCUUGAUCGAAGCCCCGGUAAACGGCGGCCGUAACUAUAACGGUCCUAAGGUAGCGAAAUUCCUUGUCGGGUAAGUUCCGACCUGCACGAAUGGCGUAAUGAUGGCCAGGCUGUCUCCACCCGAGACUCAGUGAAAUUGAACUCGCUGUGAAGAUGCAGUGUACCCGCGGCAAGACGGAAAGACCCCGUGAACCUUUACUAUAGCUUGACACUGAACAUUGAGCCUUGAUGUGUAGGAUAGGUGGGAGGCUUUGAAGCGUGGACGCCAGUCUGCGUGGAGCCAACCUUGAAAUACCACCCUUUAAUGUUUGAUGUUCUAACGUUGGCCCCUUACCGGGGUUGCGGACAGUGUCUGGUGGGUAGUUUGACUGGGGCGGUCUCCUCCCAAAGCGUAACGGAGGAGCACGAAGGUUAGCUAAUCCUGGUCGGACAUCAGGAGGUUAGUGCAAUGGCAUAAGCUAGCUUGACUGCGAGCGUGACGGCGCGAGCAGGUGCGAAAGCAGGUCAUAGUGAUCCGGUGGUUCUGAAUGGAAGGGCCAUCGCUCAACGGAUAAAAGGUACUCCGGGGAUAACAGGCUGAUACCGCCCAAGAGUUCAUAUCGACGGCGGUGUUUGGCACCUCGAUGUCGGCUCAUCACAUCCUGGGGCUGAAGUAGGUCCCAAGGGUAUGGCUGUUCGCCAUUUAAAGUGGUACGCGAGCUGGGUUUAGAACGUCGUGAGACAGUUCGGUCCCUAUCUGCCGUGGGCGCUGGAGAAUUGAGGGGGGCUGCUCCUAGUACGAGAGGACCGGAGUGGACGCAUCACUGGUGUUCGGGUUGUCAUGCCAAUGGCACUGCCCGGUAGCUAAAUGCGGAAGAGAUAAGUGCUGAAAGCAUCUAAGCACGAAACUUGCCCCGAGAUGAGUUCU